UGCAAGCUGGUGUGGCCACUCUGGAAACCAGUAUGGAGGUUCCUUAAAAAGUUAAAAAUAGAACUACCCUACAACCGAGCAACUGCACUACUACGUAUUUAUCUAAAGGAUGCAAA